rnacentral:rRNA from 1 species
GACGAACGCUGGCGGCGUGCUUAACACAUGCAAGUCGAACGAGAGGAGAAGGAAGCUUGCUUCUUUCAAAUCUAGUGGCAAACGGGUGAGUAACACGUAAACAACCUGUCUUCAGGAUGGGGACAACAGACGGAAACGACUGCUAAUACCGAAUACGUUCCUUAGGUCGCAUGACUUUAGGAAGAAAGGGUGGCCUCUACUUGUAAGCUAUCGCCUGAAGAGGGGUUUGCGUCUGAUUAGGUAGUUGGUGAGGUAACGGCCCACCAAGCCGACGAUCAGUAGCCGGUCUGAGAGGAUGAACGGCCACACUGGAACUGAGACACGGUCCAGACUCCUACGGGGAGGCAGCAGUGGGAAUCUU